rnacentral:piRNA from 1 species
UCGUCCGUCGCAGAAUCUUCAAUGCUGCU